rnacentral:rRNA from 1 species
UACGGAGGUGGCAAGCGUUGUUCGGAAUUAUUGGGCGUAAAGCGCGCGCAGGCGGUCCUUUAAGUCUGAUGUGAAAGCCCUCGGCUCAACCGAGGAAGGUCAUUGGAAACUGGAGGACUUGAGUGCAGAAGAGGAAAGUGGAAUUCCAAGUGUAGCGGUGAAAUGCGUAGAGAUUUGGAGGAACACCAGUGGCGAAGGCGACUUUCUGGUCUGUAACUGACGCUGAGGCGCGAAAGCGUGGGGAGCAAACAGG